GAGUAGGUAGUAGAUGGUUUACCAUUGGACUGCAAAUCCUUAUGAAGAGGUUCGAUUCCUCCCUAUUCC
rnacentral:tRNA from 1 species